CAAAAAAUGAAAAAAUUACAAUUUAAGGUGCAUCUGUCAUCUGUACAAAGUGGCCAUAAUAUACAUGAUAGUACUAUACAUAUUAGACAAGGAAUCUCAAUCCUCAAACAUAAAGCACAGAUGAAAACUUAGAAUGUGUUGCUCAUUUUUAUUUCUUAACUUCUAAACACUGCCUAUAAUAUACAUAACAGUAAGGGGAGCUCAAGGGCAG
rnacentral:misc_RNA from 1 species